rnacentral:rRNA from 1 species
GACGAACGCUGGCGGCGUGCUUAACACAUGCAAGUCGAACGGAAAGGCCCUGCUUUUGUGGGGUGCUCGAGUGGCGAACGGGUGAGUAACACGUGAGUAACCUGCCCUUGACUUUGGGAUAACUUCAGGAAACUGGGGCUAAUACCGGAUAGGAGCUCCUGCUGCAUGGUGGGGGUUGGAAAGUUUCGGCGGUUGGGGAUGGACUCGCGGCUUAUCAGCUUGUUGGUGGGGUAGUGGCUUACCAAGGCUUUGACGGGUAGCCGGCCUGAGAGGGUGACCGGCCACAUUGGGACUGAGAUACGGCCCAGACUCCUGCGGGAGGCAGCAGUGGGGAAUAUUGCACAAUGGGCGGAAGCCUGAUGCAGCAACGCCGCGUGCGGGAUGACGGCCUUCGGGUUGCAAACCGCUUUCGCCUGUGACGAAGCGUGAGUGACGGUAAUGGGUAAAGAAGCACCGGCUAACUACGU